GGGUUUAUUUCCCACCAUGGUUACUAAACUGACCAACUACAAGCCCGGAUCUGCAGGUGGCCAUGUAUGCCACCACAUUGGACAAAUACGCUUGAUGGGGCCUCAACAGAGGAAAGCAGAGAUGCAGAGUCCUGAUGAUAUGUUGUCUUAGAACCUCGCCCAACUGUACCUGAAGCCCCACCCCCCACCCCAGGGGAGCCCCAUUCGUCUCCCCUAUCUUCCACUAAUCCUGUUCCCCUGGGACUGCCGAACGGUGACUGCAAUAAUGACCGCAUCAGGAGCGCUGCAGGAAGGACUGCUUAAAGGAGAAUUAGCCAACAAUCACCAUUUAGUACCACGGAGUCCAUGUCCACCGCCAGACCCUGCAAGCUUCCCACAGAGGUCCGGUUUAUGAUGCUCGUCUGGAUGGAGUCCUUCAGGAUGGCGGCCACACAGUCCUCACAGAAGAUAUGGCCCUUGGCGUGUGGCAUGACAAACACAAUCCAGAAGUGGACCAGGAGGCCACCUUUGUUGUUACUGCUGUAGAGAACGGAGAAAGAUGUUCAGAGAUACCUCUUGGGAAGGAGACUUUUGUAGGAAGCCAGUGGCCCAGCUGGCAAUUUCAAGCAGAAAGAAAGAAAGAAAGAAAGAAAGAAAGAAAGAAAGAAAGAAAGAAAGAAAGAAAGAAAGAAAGAAGCAAUUCUAUCAAAUAAGCAAUUCUAUCUUACAGCCGACAUGAGCUAAAUCCCAUGUUUCCUGACCACUUCUGCCUACCCCGUACACUGUGACCAGGUUCCACCCCACCUUUCACCCCCUGACCCCACCCUGCCCGGCCUCUCACCACCACCCCAUCACCUCCUCACCACUUGUUGUACAGUCCGUG